GAAUUCGAUUCGGUGUGACAAGGCCCGGGAACGUAUUCACCGUGGCGUGCUGAUCCACGAUUACUAGCGAUUCCAACUUCACGCCCUCGAGUUGCAGAGGACGAUCCGAACUGAGACGGCUUUUCAGGAUUGGCUUCCCCUUGCGGAGUAGCAUCCCGCUGUCACCGCCAUUGUAGCACGUGUGUAGCCCAGCCCGUAAGGGCCAUGAGGACUUGACGUCAUCCCCACCUUCCUCUCGGCUUAUCACCGGCAGUCCCCCUAGAGUGCCCAACUGAAUGAUGGCAACUAAGGGCGAGGGUUGCGCUCGUUGCGGGACUUAACCCAACAUCUCACGACACGAGCUGACGACAGCCAUGCAGCACCUGUGUGCAGGUCCCCGAAGGGAAGGAAUCCAUCUCUGGAAGCCGUCCUGCCAUGUCAAGGGCUGGUAAGGUUCUUCGCGUUAAUCACUA
rnacentral:rRNA from 1 species